rnacentral:rRNA from 1 species
AAUCAACGCUGGCGGCGUGCCUAACACAUGCAAGUCGAACGAGAAAGGGGACUUCGGUCCCUGAGUACAGUGGCGCACGGGUGAGUAACACGUGACUUAUCUACCCUCGAGUGGGGAAUAACUUCGGGAAACCGAGGCUAAUACCGCAUAAUACCCACGGGUCAAAGGAGCAAUUCGCUUGAGGAGGAGGUCGCGGCCCGAUUAGUUAGUUGGCGGGGUAAUGGCCCCCACCAAGACGGUGAACGGUAUCCGGCCUGAGAGGGCGCACGGACACACUGGAACUGAAACACGGUCCAGACUCCUACGGGAGGCAGCAGUGGGGAAUUUUGCGCAAUGGGGGAAACCCUGACGCAGCAACGCCGCGUGGAGGAUGAAGUCUCUUGGGACGUAAACUCCUUUCGAUCGGGACGAUUAUGACGGUACCGGAAGAAGAAGCCCCGGCUAACUCGUG